rnacentral:lncRNA from 1 species
AUUGAUUAUUUUUCACGUUAAAGGUGUUAUUUUCAGGUAAAACCAAAGAUAAAAUGAUGUGCUAUUGCGGCAAGUUCUGGAAGAUAAAUGAUAUCGCAACAAGCUGAAACGAUAAUCUUAUUUUAAAUCCGUUUUCCCAUCAGUUUUCAUACGUAAAUCAACGCAUAUCACUCUUUCAUCUAAACACGAUCUGUCAGUCGAAUUUAUCUUGUGUAAAAUGCGAGUUUAUAGGCAAAACACGGAGCAAAAAAAAAUGCCAUCGCGGCUAGUUUUAAAAGAUAAAUGAUGUUACAACAAUUUAAAAUUUUAACUUGGAAUUUAAGGCAUUGCUCCCAUUAAUUUCCACAAUUACCACUUGGUACUCUUUCAUUGAAAUACAGCUACUGGAAAUAAUUGUUUUAGGCAAAAACAGGGAGCUAAGAUUAUGCUACUGAGAAAGAUCAAUGAUAUCGCUACAGGCUUAAACCUUUCUUAAGCCAAUAUUGUCAUAUAAAUCAAAUAUCGCAUAGAAAGUGCUGUACAGAUUAUGACAAAUUUCAAUGGCUAAUCAAUACAUCUGAGAAAAUAAUUAUUUUAAGAUACAUGUAUGGGGUCCCAAGAAAAAACGAAACUGGUUAAAUGAUAAUGCAAAUGCUAAAUUAAGUAUUUGAUACUUUUAUUUUAAGAAAAUAUAAGACAUUGGAUUAUACGAGCUAUUCUUGUUUUACAGGUCCUUUUACUAUCGAACUAGCCGGGAGACUGUUUUCAAGCUGGUGGACAAAUAUGAGCGACGAGCAGAUGACAGGUCCAUACAACGUGUGCCCACUAAUAAACGUUGUUGGAAGACAGGUAAUACAAUGCAACCUCUGUGGAGCAAGACCCUUUGGAUACAAAUAUUGACUGUUAUGUAGAAGUUAUUGUUCUGGAGAGGGGCCACGACUUUGAUCGCUCAAAGAGAACUAGGGCCUUGUGCAUAAAAAAGGUAGCUACUAUGAGCAUAGACAGGAAUGCUGUUAAAAGGAUCCCUUGGUGUUUCGUGGGACAGCAGUGCAAGGCGGAAUGAAAUUAGCGUAAGAAUUGGACUCGACAACUGAUGAUACACAGCAUGUUGGCGUGUUAAUUGACAUGUCUUAUUUUCGACUAAAAAUUCAGACUGCUGACAUCGGAAGUUUCCUUCAAAAUUCUAUUUCAGACAUUAUCAUGAGUCAACAGACAAAAUUUGAAGAAUUUCUUUAUGUUGAAAAUUUUAGUUAUUACACAGUUAACUCUCUUAAGCCUUUAAGGCCAUGUAUCAUGAUGUAGAUUGAACUUUUCGUUUAAACAUUUGUAACAUUUUACAACUAACACAUUCCAGAACUGUCAGCUUCAAUUUUAUUAUUUUUAAAGACAUGUAACUUCAUGUAUAAUAAUACGUAAACAAUGAUUGUAAAAUAAUGUAUUAUGUCCCGAAAAUUCAGAAAAGUCAGAAAAUUAGAUAGUAACAGCGAUAUUUGAUUUUAUCAAAAUCUUUAACCAAAACUUUCUUAGUUGAAACGGACAUAACUCUGUCAAAUUCAAACAAAGAAGCAAGAAUUGUUUCAGUGGUGUAGACUUUGAUAGCAAAUAACUAUUUUAUGUUACAAGUCAAUGGCUUUGAUAGUAACAGAUAUUUGAAUUUGAAAACCGCUUAAGAACAAAACAAUAGAGAGGCACGAGGGUUGCAUCAUGCUAAAAAUGCUAUUUGACACAAUGACCAGAAUGCACCACUAAAAAUUCGAGAUCAACAUGUCUUCAUCAAUUUUUCAAAGUAUUCACUGGUUUAAAUUACACAAACAUUCCUGCGACGUUGACUUAUAUAAAUAUCCCGAUUCAGGAAUGGUCUGUGCUUAUUUAAUGCACCACAUUGUAUGCAGGCAGACUCCGGUUGUCUUCAUGACUGCGCAUGUGCUCGGUGAGUUCGUAACGGGUCACCACCAGAUAGCCGCAGUAGUUUAUUAAAUACCGCAGCGGAGCCCUAUUUCACCUAAUUUAACAUUCAGUCCCCAGUCCAGACUGACCAAUACCGGCCAAUUUAAAACCCACAGGUUUUGACAACUCAUUGUGAAAACCUUCGGUUUGAUGAACGUAAGUCCCUGGGAGCUUUUAGCUUCCAUAAAGUACUGAGAAAAUACAUAUUUAACUUUCAAAAUAUCUUAAAAGAGCCUUAAUAAAAACUUAAAAAAGGUUAUACCCGGACCGAAAAACAAUUUACAAAAUAGUUUUAGCCUCCGGUUUAAAGCCGAUAUUGACUUUACAGUGUAAACAGAUAUUGGGUUUCCAUUAUAGUAUUUCGCAAUAUUGCAUCAGCCGGUUACGACUAGUUUUAUCAAUACACAUAACAUUCUUUACUGUUUUAAGUAUUAUAACGAAAAAAGUGGAAUUUAAGCAACUGAAAUGUAUUCAAGAAUUCUACAAAGAUAUUAUUAGCCAGACGAAUUACAACGUGAAAAAUCCAAGACUUUAUAAAGACAACGAACAUUUACACAAAAUAUAUCACCGGAAGACUUCAAGAAAAGAAUGUUAACCAUAACAUGGUUGAAUAUCAUAAUACUUUCAUGUUGUUAGAAUCACUCAACCGUUUGAGUAUGCCAUACUCAUACGCAUGGUUGAAUAUCAUAAUACUUUCAUGUUGUUAGAAUCACUCAA